GAUUGUUCUCCUAAUGCAGUUUCUAAUUUUCCUGCACUUCAAGACUCAAGGGCAAGUCUUUUUCCAACCAGGAGAGAAUAAAUGCAGAAUAGGAAAAUGAUAUCCCUAAUACAAUUUAGGAAUUACAUUCCAUAUAAAAAUAGGAAAUUUAAGAGUUUUAUUCUAAUUUAAGAAUUUUGUUGUUAGCUGUUCUACAUCAGAUAUAAAUUCCAUGUUGCUAGCUUUCAUUGCUUUUCAGUACUGUACAUGUUCAGACAAUGGCAUUAAGACUGCUGAGAUUGUGAUGGAAAAUUUUAUGACACAGG
rnacentral:misc_RNA from 1 species